rnacentral:rRNA from 1 species
CACGGGGGGAGCAAGCGUUGUUCGGAAUCACUGGGCGUAAAGGGCGUGUAGGCGGUCAGGUAAGUGAGAUGUGAAAUGCCCCGGCUCACCCGGGGACCGGCAUCUCAUACUGCUUGGCUUGAGUACUGAAGAGGGUCGCGGAAUUCCCGGUGUAGAGGUGAAAUUCGUAGAUAUCGGGAGGAACACCAGUGGCGAAGGCGGCGACCUGGGCAGAUACUGACGCUGAGGUGCGAAAGCGUGGGGAGCAAACAGG